rnacentral:rRNA from 1 species
GACGUAGGGCGCGAGCGUUGUCCGGAUUUAUUGGGCGUAAAGAGCUCGUAGGCGGCUUGUCGCGUCGGCUGUGAAAUCCCGUGGCUCAACUGCGGGUCUGCAGCCGAUACGGGCAGGCUAGAGUUCGGUAGGGGAGACCGGAAGUUCCUGGUGUAGCGGUGAAAUGCGCAGAUAUCAGGAGGAACACCGGUGGCGAAGGCGGCAUCCUGGACCGGCAUUGACGCUGAUGAGCGAAAGCCAGGGGAGCAAACGGG